UACGGAGGGUGCAAGCAUUAAUCGGAUUUAUUGGGCGUAAAGGGCGCGUAGGCGGGUUUGUAAGUCGCGUGUGAAAUUCCAAAGCUCAACUUUGGGACAGCACUUGAAACUACAGAUCUGGAGGAUUGGCGGAGAAAAUGGAAUUCCACGUGUAGCGGUGAAAUGCGUAGAUAUGUGGAAGAACACCAGUGGCGAAAGCGAUUUUCUAGCUUAUACCUGACGCUGAGGCGCGAGAGCAAGGGGAGCAAACAGG
rnacentral:rRNA from 1 species